rnacentral:sRNA from 1 species
UUCACAAGAUGGCGGCGCACUGGGAGCGUAUCAUCUGCGUUUCUAGGAGCUUCGCUGUGCGGCUGCUUUAAGAUUCUAGGGUUGUACAGGCCCACGCCAGACACGACGUCUGGCAGGAACCUCGGCCUCAGAGCCUUAAUUUUAAAGACCCUGAAGCAGUCAGAGCUCUGACUUGUACUCUCCUAAGGGAAGAUUUUGGACUUUCUAUUGAUAUUCCAUUGGAGAGACUAAUUCCCACAGUUCCCUUGAGACUCAACUAUAUUCACUGGGUAGAAGAUCUGAUCGGUCACCAGGAAUCUGACAAAAGUACUCUCCGAAGAGGAAUUGACAUAGGCACGGGAGCAUCCUGCAUCUACCCCUUACUCGGAGCAACCUUGAAUGGCUGGUAUUUCCUCGCAACAGAAGUGGAUGAUAUGUGUUUCAACUAUGCAAAGAAAAACGUGGAACAGAAUAACUUAUCUGAUCUCAUAAAAGUGGUGAAAGUACCACAGAAGACACUCCUGAUGGAUGCUCUUAAAGAAGAAUCUGAGAUAAUCUAUGACUUUUGCAUGUGCAACCCUCCCUUUUUUGCCAAUCAAUUGGAAGCCAAGGGAGUAAACUCACGAAAUCCUCGAAGACCUCCACCUAGUUCUGUUAAUACAGGAGGUAUCACAGAGAUCAUGGCAGAAGGAGGUGAAUUAGAGUUUGUUAAAAGGAUCAUCCAUGACAGUCUACAACUUAAAAAAAGAUUAAGAUGGUAUAGCUGUAUGCUGGGAAAGAAAUGCAGCCUGGCGCCUCUGAAGGAAGAGCUUCGCAUACAAGGGGUUCCUAAAGUCACCUACACUGAAUUCUGUCAAGGUCGGACGAUGAGAUGGGCCUUAGCUUGGAGUUUUUAUGAUGAUGUCACAGUACCAUCACCACCAAGUAAGCGGAGAAAAUUAGAGAAACCAAGGAAACCCAUUACAUUUGUGGUGCUGGCGUCUGUGCUGAAGGAAUUAUCCCUCAAAGCAUCACCUCUGGGCUCGGAGACGGCGGAAGGCAUAGUCGUUGUCACAACGUGGAUUGAAAAAAUUCUCACCGAUUUGAAGGUCCAGCAUAAACGAGUUCCCUGUGGAAAAGAAGAAGUUAGCCUUUUCCUAACGGCCAUAGAAAACUCCUGGAUUCAUUUAAGGAGAAAGAAAAGAGAGCGCGUGAGACAGCUGAGAGAAGUUCCCCGAGCUCCUGAGGAUGUCAUUCAGGCCUUGGAAGAGAAAAAGGCCACCCCCAAAGAGUCUGGCAAUAGCCAAGAACUGGCUAGGGGCCCCCAGGAGAGGACCCUCUGUGGGCCUGCUCUGCGGGAAGGCGAGGCUGCCGCUGUGGAGGGCCCGUGCCUGAGCCAGGAGUCCCUGUCCCAGGAGGAAAACCCGGAACCCACGGAGGAUGAAAGGAGUGAGGAAAAGGGAGGGGUGGAGGUUUUGGAAAGUUGUCAGGGCUCUAGCAACGGAGCCCAGGACCAAGAGGCUUCUGAGCAGUUCAGCAGCCCAGUGGCUGAAAGGGGGAAACAUCUCCCAGGAGUGGCCGGACAGUACCUGUUUAAGUGUUUGAUAAACGUUAAGAAGGAGGUGGAUGAUGCCUUAGUUGAGAUGCACUGGGUUGAGGGCCAGAACAGGGAUCUGAUGAACCAGCUCUGCACCUACAUACGCAACCAAAUUUUCAGGCUUGUUGCAGUUAACUAGAAACCUCCUGCACACUUGGAAACGUGUUGAUAGUAACUUGCUUUGGAGUGGCCUGUGGGGUGGCAAGAGGAAUCCUACCAGCGGCCCGUUAGCACGAUGUGGAAUUAUCUUCGAAAACAAAAACCUGUGAAUCUGUCCCCCACCUCCCCCCACCUCCUUCCCGCUUUUUGAGUUACAGGGAGUCGUAGUGUGGUCGUUUACAAGGAGGAAUUGUGGUCAUCAGUAACAACAGAAAGCCCUCAGUAAACUCCCGAGGGAUUGCAAGCUGGCCCAAGCUGGCCCCCUCAGCUUUGGACUGCUUCUGCAAGGCCAAAAGGGUUGUUUGUGGAGUCUGGGCUGGGCAGCACUGCCUAGAAUAUCAUGCUGUCUCUGUCACCCAAGGGUGUUUCUUGAGGAGGGAUGGCUCUCUCUGCCUCCAGUUGGAGGCCCUGGUACCCUGUUCUAGGUCACUCUUCAAGAUGGGGCCUACCUUGCAUCAAUCCCACAAAAGGAGCCAUAUGGUGGGUGGUGGGGAAUCUGGGAGAGAAACCUUAGUAAUGCUGGGAAGGAGCAGCAGAGUCUGGGGACCACCCAGUAAAUGGCACAUUCCUGACACGUGGCUGUUUUGAUGUUGCUUAUUUCAGAAGCAGAAUUAGGUAGGCAAAACUCCCGGGUGUGACUGAGGCACACAGAAGGCACCCAUACCCCCACCUCCAGCCUGUUGACAGUACCAUUUUGUAGCAGUUUUACUACUGUAUGAUUUUUGUUUGGACAUUUGAAGUAGAGCUUGUUUUGUUUUUAAUAUAAGAAUAUUCACAAAUUAAAAACCAGCGGUCCUAUUUGAAUCCUGGGGUUAGCUGAGUGAGCGGCUGAUGAUAGAAAUGAGAAAUGGAACAAAAUAGUAUGUGCCAUAGGUAGCUUAAGAAAGUCUCAGAUAUUUUGUUGCUGAUCAAAUACUGUUUUUUUGUGGCUUCACUUGUAUCCCCCCUGUACUUACCUACUCACAUUGGAGAGUUCUGAGGCCGGGGUAACCGUGUCCUUAAAACACAUUUCUAAUUGGAAUGCCAGGGUUCAGUAGCAGUCUCCCCAGAAAAGGGGUGACCUUCUGCUGUGCUUGACUUUAACAGCUUGAUGUUGCAUUAGCAGCCUAGGGUUCUAUGCAGACUAAAAUCUUUGCCAGAGCUCCUUGCCAUCUGCUAAGAAGACUGGGGCUGAGUAGUUAAGCCAGCCUUCUGAGAGGUGGCUGUUGGUUAGGACAGGAAGCUGGUGACCUUGGCAUAUCUUGGCAGCAGCUAGAUCAGGCCCUCGGCAGAGACACAGGAAGUAGAACUACUGUGCUUUAAUUUGGCUGUGGAGCUGGAGCUAGAGAAGGCAGCGUACUGACCAGUGGCUUUUUGAUUGUUUGUUUGUUAUGAGAUGGAGUUUCACUCUUGUUGUCUAGGCUGGAGUGCAGUGGUGCGAUCUCAGCCCACUGCAACCCCUGUCUCCCGGGUUCAAGUGAUUCUCCUGCCUCAGCCUCCUGAGUAGCUGGAAUUACAGGCACACGCCACCACGCCUGGCUAAUUUUGUGUUUUUGGUAGAGAUGGGAUUUCACCAUGUUGGCCAGGCUAAUCUUGAACUCAUGAUCUCAGGUGAUCCACCCACCUUGGCUUCCCAAAGUGCUGGGAUUACAGCCGUGAGCCACCACUCCCAGCCUCUGACCAGUGUUCUUAACCUGGUCCGUGGACCUCCAGAGAGUCCAUAUACCUCCUAGAGUUACUUCUAAAAGCUCUGUGAGCGUAUGUGUGUUUUUGUAUUUUUUCUCCUGGAGAGAGGGUUCCCAGAACCCUCAGCCAUAGACAAAGGGGUCAAUAACCCACUAAGGAUUAAGAAUCAUUAUUCUAGUCCAAGCAUUCAUGUGUCAGGCUGCAAAAAACAAUACCCAGGGUCACACAGAGCCAAGACUCAAUUCAGGACCGUGGAUUCCCCUGGUCUAGAAAUUUUCUGCUAUGCUAGCCCACACCACCCCACUGUCCUUACCUCGAGUGAAUAUCACAUUUGAGUCAUUUGCUGGACCCAAACCUAGUUUCCUUGGUAUAAUUUUAGGAUAAUUGUUUAAGUGGCAACUAUCCAUUCAGUAAGUAAUAAGUACUUAUUGUUUGCUUGUUUCAUUAUGCAAGAGUGGCACAUGCUCAUUAAAGAUUUGGAAAAAUGAAAGUCAAAACAACAAAAUCACCCCUAGUCCCAACCUUCUGUAACAUAACCACUCUUGGUAUUGGUGCGUUCCUUUCUAGUCUCUCUGUAGACGGGCUGUGUGAGUGUGUGGGUUUAACUUUGGUUGUACUCAUGCUGCAUAUUCAGUUUUAUAUUCUGGUCCUUUUUUCAUUUAACAUCUUACAAGUAUUUUUCCAUGUUAUAACAGUAGUGUAUGGACUUACACUCCUUUCCUGUUCAAAGUGUCUUUCAGGCAUAGCACUGGCCUUUAAGUCUGUGUCUUAGGGAUUUCCAGAGAAUGCUCUGUGUAUUGAGGCACAGAAGGUGUUUCUGUGUCUCAGUGUUUCUGUCCCUAGGUUUAAGGCUUCAUAUGAUGGAGGAGAUUUUAUAGAUGUUAAGCUAAUGACCUUAGAGUUUUAAAAAAUCCGUGACAGUGGCCGGGCGCAGUGGCUCACGCCUGUAAUCCCAGCACUGUGAGGCUGAGGUGGGCGCAUCGCAUGAGGUCAGGAAUUUGAGACCAGCCUGGCCAACGAGGCGAAACCCCAUCUCUACUCAAAAUACAAAAAUUAGCCAGGCAUGAUAGCGCACACCUAUAAUCCCAGCUACUCGGGAGGCUGAGGCAGGAGACUCACUUGAACCUGGGAGGUGGAGGUUGCAGUGAGCCGAGAAUGUCACUGCACUACAGCCUGGGUGACAAAGUGAGACUGUCUCCAAAAAAAAAAAAGAACCCGUGAGCAGGCCAGCUUUCAGUCUGGAGCCGAGUGCCUUCUGUGCAUUUGGAUGUUUCCAUUUCCUUCCCUGAGAAGAUUUUCUUAGGCUACCUAGUGAGAGAACAUUGAAAAUAUUUUUAAAGGACAUCUAAACAUUGUUUUGGUCAUGCAUAUGCUUUAUAAUUGUGUGUUGUUUCAUAGCAUAUACCUCUGGUACAGGUGGGCAAGUUUUUCUUUGAAGAAAUAGGUUAUUGACUCAUAUGUCAUAAUCUUGAGUGUUACUCUCCUGAAGUGUCCGGAGGUCACAUUCAUGUUGUUGGGUUGGUAUGAAAUUAAAUCUUUGUGGUGUGACCCUAAAUUCUCCUCUGGUCCCUAGAAUCGGCUUCUGGUCUCCUGAUAACUGAAGUGGAGACAGAAGCUGACAGAAGCUGAGCCUGUUUUCCAGGCAAACUAAAGCUGCUUUUGUUCUUCGGAAUCUGCUUUGCCUCCGUCAGCCUGGUUCCUUCCCCACAUGCUGGCCGCACUGUCCCCACUCCAGACCUCUGCUGCGUGUCCUGGCAGCUCGGCAGUGGCCUUUCAACGCAUCCUAAGCUUCGUGUAGAUUACUUUAGUAUAUAUUUUUUAUAAAACAUAAAGCCUUUCCUCUCGAUGGAAAUCAAAGCUUACCAUGUGAGCACUCGAACUUCUGAGUUCUGACGGGAAUAACAAAACUGCAAGGAGUGGAAAAGAUGGAAAAGCUGUGGGAAAUCCGAGGCCUUUUGAAGGAAGGGAGCUGAUGACUUCACGACCAGCUCCUGGAGCCCGUCCUUUCUGCUGAAGCCGCGGCAUUUCCCUCCGUGGCCACACGAGGGCACCCUUGGCCCUUUUAUCAAAGCGCCUUCACUUCCCCGUGGGAAUGGAGACAAGUCUGUCCAUGGUGUUUUCUUGAAAUACCCAGUUGCUACCCAGAUUUGUAUUUUUAUGUAAACAAAUACAUUUUCACAGAAAUAAAAUUUGAAAAAUAAAAGUAGAAAG